rnacentral:rRNA from 1 species
UACGGGGGGAGCAAGCGUUGUUCGGAUUUACUGGGCGUAAAGGGCGCGUAGGCGGUCAGCACAAGUCAGUUGUGAAAUCUCCGGGCUUAACUCGGAAAGGUCAACUGAUACUGUGCGACUAGAGUGCAGAAGGGGCAACUGGAAUUCUCGGUGUAGUGGUGAAAUGCGUAGAUAUCGAGAGGAACACCUGCGGCGAAGGCGGGUGCUGGGCUGACACUGACGCUGAUGCGCGAAAGCCAGGGGAGCGAACGGG